CCUACGGUGUGCUGCAGUAGGGAAUAUUGCUCAAUGGGGGAAACCCUGAAGCAGCAACGCCGCGUGGAGGAUGAAGGUUUUAGGAUUGUAAACUCCUUUUGUUAGAGAAGAUAAUGACGGUAUCUCACGAAUAAGCACCGGCUAACUCCGUGCCAGCAGCCGCGGUAAUACGGAGGGUGCAAGCGUUACUCGGAAUCACUGGGCGUAAAGAGUGCGCAGGCGGGAUUGUAAGUCAGAUGUGAAAUCCUGUAGCGUAACUAUAGAACUGCAUUUGAAACUGUUAUUCUAGAGUGUGGGAGAGGUAGGUGGAAUUCUUGGUGUAGGGGUAAAAUCCGUAGAGAUCAAGAGGAAUACUCAUUGCGAAGGCGACCUGCUAGAACAUAACUGACGCUCAUGCACGAAAGCGUGGGGAGCAAACAGGAUUAGAUACCCGAGUAGUC
rnacentral:rRNA from 1 species